AAUUCGAAAUUCCGGCGAGUAGGAAGCUACGCUCAUCUCAAAUACCUACAAAUUAAAACCGUUGACGAAAAUCGUGAUUAAUGACUAUCGAAAGGGAAAAAAAUUCAACACUGUACAAUUCGAUGGUACUGGAAUAGAACCCCAUAGGGAAAAUACAUUUGGAAAACCCGAAACGAGGAGGCAGAACUCUUAUUUAACAGUUUUAUCUCUAAAAUGUAGUAUUAAAAAAGGCAUAAUAUGUAUGCUCUUUCU